GGUUGUAGCUCAGUGGUAGAGCGCUUGUCUAGCACUUGUGAAGCACUGGGUUCAAUCCUCAGCACCA
rnacentral:tRNA from 1 species